rnacentral:rRNA from 1 species
AUGGAGAUCUUUGUUAAGACCCUCACUGGCAAUAGGAUCACCGUCAAGGUAGAUCCAUCGGACACCAUCUACAUUGUAAAGGCGAAGAUUCAGUAUCAGCGGUGUCUUAUCUUUGGCAGGGAGGAGCUGGAGGACCGAUUGACUCUGGCCGAUUACGACAUUCAGGAUAAAUCCACUCUACAACUUGAUUUGCGCCCCCAAAGAAGGAAGAUGCUAAUCAUAGUUAAAGCAUUGACUGGCAAGGACAUCGCCCUUGAGGUUGAGAACUUGGACACCGUCGACAAUGUCAAGGACAAGAUCCAGAUCGAGUUGAACACUCCAGUGGACCUGCAAAGGCUGAUCUUUGCCUCGAGACAGAUGGAGGACUUUCGCACCCUGGAGGAGUAUGGCAUCAAGCAGCAGGACAUCAUUCACCUCGUGCUCCGCAUCCGCGGCUGA